rfam:Oryctolagus cuniculus chromosome 8, whole genome shotgun sequence.
UCCAAAUAUUAUAUUUUUUCUAUAAAAAGGAAAAAAUGGUAAAAAUUUC